UCCUCACAUAUAGGUCUCAAGCCUCUUAUCUGUGUAUUGGAUCUCAUCAUUUUCUCCUUCCUCUGGAAGAAGCCUGGUCUCUCCUACAUCUUGAAUCUGCCCCUCGCUACUUGCUUCUCCUCCCUUCUGACAGGCAACCAAAUUAGCCAUGGAAGGAACAGCAGACAGACAGAGCAGACAGCCCAGGAAGGAGACUUUGAGGACGCUGCAUUUUGGACAGAAGGGCGAGGGAAGGAACAUCGCAGCAGGAGGAAGCAAUACAGGAAAUAGAAUUUUCAAGAAUCUGUGAAGCACCACAAUACAUUUACUAUAAUGAAUUAAAAAAAAUUGAAAAAA
rnacentral:lncRNA from 1 species